rnacentral:lncRNA from 1 species
UUAGUGAGAAUGAAUAGAAAGUAUAUCCAAAAACACAUAAUUAAGUUAUCAUUAAUUAGACAAGUAAAAAUAAAGUUGGUAUCAUGCCAACUCAAAUGUUCACACAAAUUUAAAUAUAUAAUAAAUAUAUAUAAUAAAAUAAAAGUUUAAAAAUAGACAAAAAUUUAAAUAUUCAUGAAACAAAUAUAACAAAUAAGCUUGUUCAAUUUCUCUUGAUGAUCUGAACAUUCAAAUACAACGCUGGAUUCUCAAUGGUGAAAACGUUAGCGUCGCCAACUUUGAGCUUUCUUUCUUUGAAAAAU